AUUGAACGCUGGCGGCAGGCCUAACACAUGCAAGUCGAGCGGAUGAAGGGAGCUUGCUCCUGGAUUCAGCGGCGGACGGGUGAGUAAUGCCUAGGAAUCUGCCUGAUAGUGGGGGAUAACGUCCGGACACGAGCGCGGAUACCGCAUACGUCCUGAGGGAGAACGGGAGGGAUCUUCGGACCUCACGCUAUUAGAUGAGCCUAGGUCGGAUUAGCUAGUUGGUGAGGUAAAGGCCUACCAAGGCGACGAUCCGUAACUGGUCUGAGAGGAUGAUCAGUCACACUGGAACUGAGACACGGUCCAGACUCCUACGGGAGGCAGCAGUGGGGAAUAUUGGACAAUGGGCGAAAGCCUGAUCCAGCCAUGCCGCGUGUGUGAAGAAGGUCUUCGGAUUGUAAAGCACUUUAAGUUGGGAGGAAGGGCAGUAAGUUAAUACCUUGCUGUCUUGACGUUACCAACAGAAUAAGCACCGGCUAACUUCGUG
rnacentral:rRNA from 1 species